UACGGAGGGUGCAAGCGUUAUCCGGAUUUACUGGGUUUAAAGGGUGUGCAGGCGGGCUUUUAAGUCAGUGGUGAAAUCUCCGGGCUCAACCCGGAAACUGCCAUUGAUACUAUUAGUCUUGAAUUUUGUUGAGGUAGGCGGAAUAAGUCAUGUAGCGGUGAAAUGCUUAGAUAUGACUUAGAACACCAAUUGCGAAGGCAGCUUGCUAAACAAACAUUGACGCUGAGGCACGAAAGCGUGGGGAGCAAACAGG
rnacentral:rRNA from 1 species